CUAUGCGCCUUGCCAGCCCGCUCAGUCAGAGUUUGAUCCUGGCUCAGGAUGAACGCUAGCGGCAGGCUUAAUACAUGCAAGUCGAGGGGCAGCAGCUUUAUAGCAAUAUAGAGGCUGGCGACCGGCAAACGGGUGCGGAACACGUACACAACCUUCCUUGAAUAGGGGGAUAGCCCAUAGAAAUGUGGAUUAAUACCCCGUAAUAUAGCGGUGUGGCAUCACACUGUUAUUACAGUUUCGACGAUUCGAGAUGGGUGUGCGGCUGAUUAGGUAGUUGGCGGGGUAAAGGCCCACCAAGCCUUCGAUCAGUAGCUGAUGUGAGAGCAUGAUCAGCCACACGGGCACUGAGACACGGGCCCG
rnacentral:rRNA from 1 species